rnacentral:rRNA from 1 species
AGAGUUUGAUUCUGGCUCAGGAUGAACGCUGGCGGCGUGCCUAACACAUGCAAGUCAAGCGAUUCUCUUCGGAGAAGAGCGGCGGACGGGUGAGUAACGCGUGGGUAACCUGCCUCAUACACAUGGAUAACAUACCGAAAGGUAUGCUAAUACAGGAUAACAUAAGAGAUUCACAUGGAUUUUUUAUCAAAGCUCCGGCGGUAUGAGAUGGACCCGCGUCUGAUUAGCUAGUUGGUAAGGUAACGGCUUACCAAGGCGACGAUCAGUAGCCGACCUGAGAGGGUGAUCGGCCACAUUGGAACUGAGACACGGUCCAAACUCCUACGGGAGGCAGCAGUGGGGAAUAUUGCACAAUGGGCGAAAGCCUGAUGCAGCAACGCCGCGUGAGUGAUGAAGGCUUUCGGGUCGUAAAACUCUGUCCUCAAGGAAGAUAAUGACGGUACUUGAGGAGGAAGCCCCGGCUAACUACGUGCCAGCCGCCGC